CUUCGCACCGGGCGGAUGGUUCCUGAAAUCAAUGGAAGAGGAAUGAUGACGUUUAGGGAUUAACUUGUUGUGAAAUUUUGAGCUAUUAACAAAGAAAAAAAAACAAACAUAUUUAACCAAUACAAUUUUUGUUGCUGCUGUUACUUAUUCCCCCCUUUUGGAUAAGGGACAAAAUUAGAUUUUUGGCUGUUUUAAAGGCAUUCAGCUCUUUAUCACACUGCUCCCUAUCAUACAGUUUAUUGCAUGUCACGCACAAACCACACAAACAAUUGUUGAUGAAGAGACUAAGUGCACCCUUUUUUUCCACCUUUAAAACUAUCAAAAGUGGAUUUUGACACAACCCCCCCCCCCCCAAAAAAAAUAAAUCCAUUUGCUCAAUGAGCUUAGACCACAAGCUUACAUUGUUAAAAUAGAACCCAUUAUCCUUGAAUGAGCACAAAUUCAAUCAUAUGUAUUACGAAACAACCUUUAACAUGAAUAAUCUCAACCAGCGAGCUGUUGUGUACAGGGAGAUAAAACCGUUGAAAAUAUCACUUUUCAUGUCUUUCUCUGUACAAUGCAGUCUCUCUACUCCGCUUUUUGCUCUGUGUUUGUGUCUCUGUUUAUUUUAUACUUUAAUGAUAUACAAUUGUAGAGUAACACACCCUUCACGGAGACCUGUCAGCUCAUGGUCAGGGUGAAUAAAACAAAACACACGCAGCAAUGACAUUUUAUCAAUCACACCAUGGCGACUGACAAGCAAAGAGAAGAUCAAAGUCAACGUCACCACAGAUUAAAACAUGCAGCUACACUGGAUGAGUUGUGCGGAUGAAGUGAUCGUGGAUCGAGCCGACGGUCUUCUGCGGAGUUUGUUGGCCAACGAGCAGCUUUCACGAGACCACAUUCUGACAGGGACCGUGUUCAACGGUCAUGUUUUGCGGUGACUGAGUGAGCUAAUAGCCAAAACGCUGAAACCUCAUUCGGAAGGAGAAUUUGUGCUGUGGAGCUGCUGCAACUGCACAAGUGGAAUUAGGAGUUGUUCCUGUUCUGCACCCACAGGAUCCUGCAAUGACUUGGGGUUUGCAAAUGGGUUUGCAAAACUCCUUUAGGGAUUCGGUGAGAGGAUUCUGGACGUGAAAAGUAAACAAAAAGUGAACUUAAACAUAUUUGUCAAGACGUUUCACGUGGAACCAGCUGAUGUGCGUCCUCGUGGUCCUGAGCCCGGCAGAGUGAUGGAAGGGGUGUUUGAGGGAGUACAUUGUGCUCUUUCCUUCUGGCAGAUUUGCCAUUGCUAUGAAGGAAGAGCAAUAUGCUGCGAAAACGUCCGCUGCCACCUCCCAGGUCUCUUCUCCCACCCAGCUCGCUGCCACUUCCUCUCUCCGCUCCCUAAUGCUUGAGCAGUACUGUUAAAAAGCUGUGUUCCCGCAUCAAGAGCCAAACCUUGCCCUCACCCAUCCUCACCCUCCCGUCCUCAUCCACUGAGGCAGCAGCAAGGCUCUCAUCCACCCUAACCCACUCGUCUUUGUCCACUGAGGCAGCAGCAAGGCUCUCAUCCACCCUCACCCUCCCAUCCUCAUCCACUGAGGCAGCAUCAAGGCUCUCAUCCACCCUCACCAACCCGUCCUCAUCCACUGAAGCAGCUUCAGGGCCCUCACCCCCCCUCUUCGUCCACUGAGGCAGCCGCAGGACCCUCACCCACCCUCACCCUCCCGUCCUCAUCCACUGAGGCAGCAGCAAGGCUCUCAUCCACCCUAACCCACCCGUCUUUGUCCACUGAGGCAGCAGCAAGGCUCUCAUCCACCCUCACUCUCCCGUCCUCAUCCACUGAAGCAGCUUCAAGGCCCUCACCCACCCUCACUCUCCCGUCCUCAUCCACUGAGGCAGGAGCAAGGCCCUCAUCCACCCUCACUCACCCGUCUUCGUCCAGUGAGGGAGGAGCAAGGCCCUCAUCCACCCGUCAACCACCAGUUUAUGACACAUUGAACAAGAUCCCCUGAGUAGCUCAGCAAAGCAAGGAGGCUUGACUGCCAGAGAUGCGGCGUGACGGUCCUGGUUCCAUCUCUUAAGACUCUAUGGUGGGGUCCAAGCUGAGGCUCAAACCAGCAUCCUCAAUGCUCUCAACGUCCAGCUCUUCAGUGCCUACAUCCUCCAGCAUCUGCUCAGUCUCCUCAGAGUCAGGAUGUACAUCCUGCAGGGCCUGCCCUGUCUGGCGGUACAGGUAAUCGAUACAUAUUAGCUCCCCUGAGACAGACAAGAGAAUAGAAAUAGGAAAAUUGUCUUUCAGACGAUGCACUAAAAAGUUUAUUCUUUUUUAUGCAUAUGAAAAAUAAACCUCAUCACUAUGAAAAGCUCAAACUCACCAGUGUAAACGGCCGGUGGCUGAAAAGAGGGACAAGCUUCCUUCCAAGCACCUUGACACUGUGGGUGUUGACACAGUGAACAAGGUCCCCUGAGUAGCUCAGCAAAGCAGGAGGCUUGACUGCCUGAGAUGCGGCAUGGCAGACCUGGUUCCAUCUCUUAAGGCCUUCCAGGAGGUACAGCUGGAAAUUGAGGCUGUUGGCACUCGUUCCUUAAGAUAGAGGCAGUAUGAGAAAUAAUUUUUGUCACUGUUUACAAGAUAAUAAUAAUAUUUUUUUCAUACUAACCUGGAAUGAACCUGUUGAGAUGCAAGCGGAUGGACUGGAGCGAUGUGGACCCUCUAGCACACCUGUAGUUUGGCAGGACAAUGCGCUCCUUGGUGGUGGUGCCAGUCUGAGAAUACAGGAGAACACCUGGUUCACCCUGGAUGCACUUAACGGGCCUCCUCUGGAUUUGCCAGAUGUGCUGCAUCCUCUCCUUGGUUUUUUGCAUUUUCAUUUGUUAAGGAAAUGUUGAAAUGAUCUAGUUUUAAUUACUGUAAUAACUAUUUUUGGUAAUAACAUUGUUGUAUUUAUAGUGUUGUUAACUGUGCUCUCAUUCUCUUCGCCCACAAGUAGUAAUUUGUUGUCCGCACUGUUUCAUGCGCCACAGGGAGGAGGACCCCGUCACCUGGCCACAGUCUCAGGAGCUAUGGUCAGACUGUUUCCCCUCUGUCUCUUCCUCCCUCUCCUGUGUCUUCAAUCGCCUCCACUUCCUCGGUUCCAUCAGCCGCUACUAGAGUAGAAAUGUCAGCUACCACCUCCUCUGGUACCUCCUCUGCUCAUCUCACCCCUGCGAUCUCAGCACCCGCCCACGCCGCUCCAUCAAGUCUGGUCCCUCGGCCCGUCCUGCUCCUGACUCCCUUCCGUUGGCCGCAAAUGUGGAGGCUGCUGAUGGUUCAGCAUCUGGCUGGCUCCCUGCGAAACUAGUGAAGACCGUUCCUCUUCAAGACCAAAAGUGGAUUCCAGCAGCUUUGUGGAAGCACCAGCGGCUGCACUCUGACCUUAAACUCUGGUAUGAUCCACCAGAGCCAGCAUUAAUUCAUCAUCAGACCCCCACUCCAGAGCGCUUUUUCACCUUAAUCAAUUCGUUAAAUAAAGUGUAUUCAUUAUUUAUAGUUUUACUUUAAUCGUUACCACUUACCACGGAGGACCGCUGCCGAUGUGGACUCUGCGCUGUGUUUGUUGUUUAAUUGAAGGUCUCCACACAUCAGCUCGCAUCUGGUCUGAUUUAUUGCUGGUAAAUAGAAAAAUAAACGGUCCUGGUCUGCCACGGAGGACACAGCACACACACGCCGAGUCAUCCACGGGCACGCCCCUGGUGAACUAGCCGCGCUCAGAUCACCAUACGUUACAUUUAAAUUGAGAAUAGAGAAAUGCAGCAAAUACAAGAUGUACCUGGUAAAUAGAAAAAUAAACUUGCCUGGUCAGCCACGGAGGACACAGCACACACACGCCCAGUCAUCCUAUAACAGAUAAAAAAAUAUUAAAUUAGCAAUCUAGCAUGCUAUGCUAACUAGCAGGCUAAGCUAACUAGCGUUACCUAAAUGCUUCCCGUAAAUCACACACAAUAACCCUUCCAGCGCGCAUAACUACAUCGCUACUUUCUACUGUAGCAUGUAUGCAUCAAGGCAAGUGAAUUAAAUCAUAUUAAAAGAAAUGAUCAAAAUGUGCAUAUGACUGGGUGCAAUCCAACAUACCACGGGCGCGCUCCUCGUGAACUAGCACGGCCCAGUCACGUACCAGUGCAUAUAUGUACGGGGGAGCCGCCCACUGACCAAUCACAAUACCAUAAAAUGUCAAUAAAACGUCUUUGAAUCGGUUGUUAUUCAAUGACAAGUGGAAUCAUAUAUAACUCUGUUACAUUAGCAAUUAUUUCGUGUGUUUUGACGGUAUUGUCUUGAGUUAGAUCGUUGCAGUUUAAAAGUAUAUUUGUCAUCGUGAGAAAACAAUCUUGAUUAAUUCGGGUAUUUCCCGAGAUGAGCCGAGGGUAACCGAUUUAGGUGAACCCAGAUCAGAACGUAACCUGAAUGAUGACAUAAUGUAUCAAUAUGUGACCGACACCGGUACGUUAAGUGGGCGUGGCUCAAGGUGAUGAGCGGAGACUUCAAGUUUUAGGACUUUUGCUGUGGAGAGAUCGAAUCCGACUCCAUGCGUUCUUACAAGAAUUAUAUUUUCUGAAAUGCAUUUGUUCCUAGGUGGCUGUGAAUGAGUGCUUACUUUUAAAACCAUAUUCGCCGUGGCAUAUAUGAUACCCAAGCCAGAGGCUUUCUGCCCAAGAUUUCCAGCUCAGAGGCAGUUAUUCCCUCGGCAGGCAUCUCCACCUAGCUCUGCCCCUAUGCCUGUUGUCCCAGGCCCCAGCCCUGCUAUUGGCCCACCUGUGUUUUUGCCCCGACAACUACCUGCAGCCAAAUCCAUUGCUCCUGCUGGCCCCCUUCCCGCCCCACCACCUGCCCGUGGGCCUUACAAUUGGACAACAUAUAGAAACAAAUGCAGUCAGUGCCACCAGCCCCGAAAUAAAGAAAAUGGCCAAUAUUAUGGAUAUAUAUAUACUGUCCCCAAACUGUAAAUAUGUCACUUGACCAGUGGAUGGAGGAGUUGAGGAGGAAGGGGGCAGAAAAAAGGAGAUUUGUGUCAUUCUGUGUGUGAAUUGUGUUAUUUGUUAAACGUUUUAAAAGAUUGAAAUAUAACAAACAUUUUGAAACA